AAGGACUGUGGUUUGAAGAAAAUCUGGCUUGGUUUAUAGAGGUGGAAUUUGUAUAAGCUAGCUUGGUUUUUUAUUUUCUUUAUUUUGAUGCCUUGAAAAUUUAGUAUAAGACCGGGAUUAGAUACCCCGUUAUUUAUUUUUUAAACUUUAAUUGCUGUGAUUUACUUGGGGAUUACGAGCGUGCUUGAUUAGAGGUUGAUAUUUAGCAUAAAGCUUAAAACUCAAAAAACUUGGCGGUGCCUUAAUUCCUUCCAGGGGAACCUGUCCUGUAAUCGAUGGUCCACGUUUUAACUUACCUUUUUUUGUAUUGUUGAGCUACAUGCUCUAAUAACAGUUUGUAUACCGUCGUCGUCAGAUUAUCUUUGAGAGUAAAAGAAGUUGUCGGUAGAAGGAAGCGUGUUAUUGUUUGUUGUUAUCUGAAAAGAUAAAUGUUAUAGAUUUCUAUGAUUGUGCAGAUUAGUUUUAUACGUUUUUUCCGAUGUCAGAUCAAGGUGCAGCUUAUGAAAAGGUAGAGAUGGGUUACAAUAAAUAUUUAAUAUACGAAUUUUAUUUUGUAAUGAAUAAUUGAAGGUGGACUUGGGAGUAAUAUAAAUUAUGAGAUGCAUUAAGUAGUGAGUUUGUGUGAAUAAUGGUACUAAGGUGUGU
rnacentral:rRNA from 1 species